rnacentral:rRNA from 1 species
GUGUCAGCCGCCGCGGUAAUACCGGCAGUCCGAGUGAUGGCCGAUCUUAUUGGGCCUAAAGCGUCCGUAGCUGGCUGAACAAGUCCGUUGGGAAAUCUGUCCGCUUAACGGGCAGGCGUCCAGCGGAAACUGUUCGGCUUGGGACCGGAAGAUCUGAGGGGUACGUCCGGGGUAGGAGUGAAAUCCUGUAAUCCUGGACGGACCACCGGUGGCGAAAGCGCCUCAGGAGGACGGAUCCGACAGUGAGGAACGAAAGCUAGGGUCUCGAACCGGAUUAGAAACCCCCGUAGUCC